AUGAUAAAGAAAAAAUGAGGAAAUGCUGUGAAGAACUAAUAGAACGUUUCAGAAGCAGAACAAGUCGAGAGCAGUGAUGACCCUUUUGUUCCUGCUAGUACCUCCUGUCUGUCUGGCCGAACUCACCAUCAGAUGAUGUCUUGAACCUCACCUAGAUGGGCUGGUGGUGUGUGGCCAGGUUAAGAGCACCAACAGGAGUAAGAAAGUGACCUGCCUGGUUUUACCGUGUGUACUAGGGGAGGGGUUGAAAGCUUUCGGUUGAUACAUCACCUCUGGGAGUUGAAGAAGAAUGCAAUUAAGAGAGCUAAAGAAGUCAGUAUAGAAUCUGAAACUCAGAGGUCAACUGAUGUGUCAAAGAUACCUCCACAAAUCAGUACCUUGAUUAAAACUAAAAUUGGAGUCAUCUUCAUAUCUCCAUCUUUCUCCCUCUUCAUUAGGACCGAUUGUAGUCUGUUUCCCUCUCACUCACUUGCAAUCUUUAUUGCUUUAGUGUUGCAUUUGAUUUUUAUCUUUGUUUUUGUUUUAAAUACUGUCAUUAAAGUCAUAGAAAAAUCUAAAAUAAAACUGGUUGAAUAAAAAUUUUAAAAUCGACUCUAAUGUAAUAAACCAGACAAAAAUGAUACUUUAAAUGUUAUAUCUUCCCUUUAAACUACAAAUAUUCAUUGAGUGUAUACCCUGUAUUAGGCUGUUGGAAUAAAACAGGGAAGAAGACAGAAGAAACUGCACCGCCAUCUUAGAUCUUGCAGCCAAAUUCCUCUGAACUUUUCUCUAAAGACGUGCUCUGGAAAAAUGUUGAUCAUUUUCCUACAUCAUGGAGGUCUUUUCAUGACCACCUUUGUCUAGACAAUGUCCUGUUUUUAGGUGCACGUUUGAGGGCUGGAGUCUCUGACCCACAGUGCUGCAGCCUGCACGUGGUUUGUCCUGACUUCUUUGCUACUUCACUUUUCGUAAGGCUCUGAGAGUGCAG
rnacentral:lncRNA from 10 species